rnacentral:rRNA from 1 species
CGGACGGGUGAGUAAUGUCUGGGAAACUGCCUGAUGGAGGGGGAUAACUACUGGAAACGGUAGCUAAUACCGCAUAACGUCGCAAGACCAAAGAGGGGGACCUUCGGGCCUCUUGCCAUCAGAUGUGCCCAGAUGGGAUUAGCUAGUAGGUGGGGUAACGGCUCACCUAGGCGACAUCCCUAGCUGGUCUGAGAGGAUGACCAGCCACACUGGAACUGAGACACGGUCCAGACUCCUACGGGAGGCAGCAUG